ACUGUCCUUAUCUGAGGGAAGCUUGACAAGUCAAUGAUCUAUUGUGAGCCUUGUUCUGCUGACACCCUUUCAUACAACAUUACUGGGCGCCUGCUUGCGGGUUGUCCAAAUUUUUGGAAGC